rnacentral:lncRNA from 1 species
CUCUGAUACUAUUGUUAGGUUCCAAUCAUACAGCGAAAAGUAAUUUUCAAAAAUUUUAAAACAAGCAAAUCAAUAGUCUUAUCAAAUAAAACUAUCGAGCUGAAUCCAAAAUCCUAGAAUCACUUUACCGAUCACGAUCAAAAUAAAUUCAAGCAUAUAAAGAGAUAGAAAAUUAUACUUUAACCAAUAUGAAAAACUGGCAC